GUGGCAUGAGUGCUGGAUCACAACUUCUGAGAUCAGGGGUUGAAUUUCUCUUCUGCCAUGGAAACUCAUUGAAUUACCUUAAAAAUGUUCUCUCAGCCUCAGAAGAAGGGAAAAACAAACUCCCUCUGAACCAAUCUUGCCAAGAAAACCCUCUGAGCUUUUUGCCUUGGACUUCCAUAAAUCAGAAACAACAUAAAAGCACACAACAAUCCUUACCAGAGACCUCUUCCAGAUAGAACAUAGCAGAAACAAUAUGAACCAGUGCUACCACUUCAGUUUUAAAGCUCAUAAGAAAUUGUGGUCCACUAUUUUUAGUGGAGUUUUAGGAGCGGUUUUGUAUGUGUUUUAUCAAUGAAUGCCUGGACAAAGUAGCUCAGGGAAGGGGGGAGGGGGUAAUAUGGCCACGUGUGCAAAGUAUAUGUCUGUGUUUCUCUGGAUUGUGGGGUCAAAUUUUUGUAAUCCACUUACUUUAUAAGAAAGACAAAAUAGAUUUUGAUUAGCUGAAUUUGGGGUUAAAACAUUUCGAAAUGACUGAAUUAACCAACAAGCUGAGUGAGCUCCUACCUCAAGACUGGCAACCAAAUGAAGUGAAGGAAACUAAGGUGAACAUUGCAUGAAAAAUAUAAAAAUAAUGCAAAAUACAAGCCCCAAUUUUUCUGAUUGCCCCAUUUUUUGUAUGGAGCUCUACAUCACUGUAAAUGAAUGUAGUCAGCCAAAGUUCCCUGAAGUAUGCAAACAUCUUGAAAUGCUCCCUCUCAACUCUAUUACAUAUGAUAAAAGAAAGGAAUGUUUGAUUUAUUAAUUACUAGACAAUCCUUGUCCAUGUUCAACUGUGUGAUAUUUUGCAUUCAAAACCAGUUCUUAAACUGAACAUGUUGGACAUUACUAUGUUAGAACAUUUUUCUUUUUGUCCUUCCUCUCCAUGAUUUAGGAUCUGCAAUUAUCAGCAAAGGUGACAAAACAGAUUUCCCGGCUGAAGCCAGGACAGAGACAGCUGAGGCACAGCUCUAUUAGAUAAAUAAUGUAUGCUACUAAAUUGUAAUUACCUGAAAGGCAAAGUUGGCCAGGUCAUUGUUGGAAAACAGAAGAAAUGAAAACAUUGGGAAGCAAGCAAACAAUAACUCUCAUCAAACCUCUAAUGAAUGGCAAUGACACAAUUACAUUCAGGCAACACUUAGUCCCAACAGCUGCCUAAUUAAAACUGGACCCAGACAAGAUGCAAUUGUCGGUGGCUUCUGUGAAUUUUAUCGACAGUAGUGAUAGCCUCCUCACCAUAAGGGAACACUCCUGAAAGAAAAACACAGCACUCAUCUCUUUUCCAGGCUGAGACAAAGACACAGCGCUUAAUCUGGUCAAGUUUCCUGGGACCAGUUCCAGUUGCUGAUGGUGUGAACAAGACCAUUGGAUCUUUCAUUCCUCCACAUGUAAGCUUGACCGUUGCACAUCCUCUCUGAAAAGUCCACAAACAUACCCAAAGUAUUCCGUAUACUUGCAGCCUGAUUCUAUGAUUACUUAAAAGUAAGUACCUUUGAUUUCAGUAGAAGUUAUUUCUAACUAGGUAUGCCAAGGAAUGUAUCAAGGCAGCACUAUCCUUACUUAUUUAGCAGUUGCAUCUUUGGAUUCCUAUACACACAUAUUUAUAAACACAUUAGGUUUUCAACUAAUGAUAAUGCUAAAGGGAACACACAACAAAAUACAAACACAUCAAUGGGAAAGAAAGAAAAACAUCCACUAGAUAAAAACCUGCCUUAGCAGCAAAUAAGCUUAGGUACCCAAAGCCUGUCUGAAUAAAAUAUAUAUUUGUGUUCUCAGCAUAAGGACAAGACAGAUAGUGUUUUUUCAAACUUCUCCUGAUGAGAAGUUCCAAAGUCUGGGAACAGCCACCAAAAAGGCCUUCUUCUUGUUUUCCUACAAACAUCCCUCUGGUUGUGGUGGGACAGAAAUGAAGGCAAUGCCUUAGAAUUGCAGAACUCAAGCAGGAUCUUAUGACAGAAUAUGGUCUUUCAAAUAGGCCUAAACCAUACAGUUUAGAAGUAAAAGGCGGGACGUCUUAUUUAAAGUCUUUAACUUUAUGUAUCACCCAGUCAGAGCUCCUGAAGGAAUGUACAAUACAUACAAGCAUUUAAAACAUUAAAUGCACAACUCAAAACAUUUUAAAAAACAGGUCAAAGUGGUUUCUUAAAGUCACACACAGUGAAAAUAGUAAAAGCAGCCACUCCUAGUUUAGAGAGCCAUGGAAAACAGCAUAGUCUUAGCUGCCUACCAGGAACUCAGUAGAGAUGGAGUCAGCCUCACCCUUGAGAAGGAGUUAUAUGGGGAACGGGGCUGCUACAGAGGAGGUCCUGUUGGCUGAUUCACUAGCCUCAUAAUGAAAUGAAAGUCAUCUGGAAAUUUGAGAUAAUCAGUAUGACUGGAAACAGACUGGUUGCUGGUAAAAGUUUUGUAAUCAGGGAGCAAAUAGGUUUUCAGUAGCUAGGUUCAGUCAUUAGGGAUGCUGCGACACUGAUGUUAAAGCAGGCCUUCCUUUAAAUAUAUUCCUGACCUUGUUUCCCAAUUGAGACCAGAGACGAGGAGAUUAUAACAUAGAAGCCUUAUUUCUGCAGAAGCCAAACCCAUGGUGGGUUCUGUAAAUACCAGAAAGCCAAAUAGAACAAAGACAAUGAAAGCAAUUUAUAAGGUCACACAUUCCACACUAACAUUUCUUUACCUCUCCUCACGCUCCUCCCAGUUCCACCUCCUGCUCUUGUCCCUCCAGCUUGUGUAUUCUUCUUCAUUAAUAACAUUUUCCACCUGGACCACAUUCUGAAGUUGCUUGGCUACAUGUGUCCUGGAUUUCAUCUGUGAAAUGUUGGAAUGCAUCCACUUGUCCUUUCCCACUUGGGAGACAAUAUAUAUAAAUCGCCUCCUGGUGAAAUUUGCCUCUUUUUUCCCUGGGUGUUGAAGGACAGCUGGAUAGUCUCUGCCACACUCCUAAGGCAACCUGUGGCUUGGGGAAAGAGCUGUGCUUGGAAGACCCAGCUGUCCUUAUGCACAACGGGCAAAGAGACACUACAUAAGGAGAUAUUGAAAGCCUCCAUGCAAAGCAAGCAUUGGCAUAAUGGGGGCUUAUUCCAGAGUAAGCCGCUACAAGAUUGUAGCCUAAUUUAUGGAUACAUCCUAUUAUGCUAAAUAGGCCUGCAUAGGAGUGGGCUCUCGGCAGCAUAUCUUCUAAUACAGAAAAUAGAUGGUCAAUUCUCACAAUAUAGCAGGUCUAAAUUUCAAUUUUUGGAA